rnacentral:rRNA from 1 species
GAUGAACGCUGGCGGCGUGCCUAACACAUGCAAGUCGAACGGAGUCGUUUUGGAAAUCUCUUCGGAGAUGGAAUUCUCGACUUAGUGGCGGACGGGUGAGUAACGCGUGAGCAAUCUGCCUUUAAGAGGGGGAUAACAGUCGGAAACGGCUGCUAAUACCGCAUAAAGCAUUAAAUUCGCAUGUUUUUGAUGCCAAAGGAGCAAUCCGCUUUUAGAUGAGCUCGCGUCUGAUUAGCUAGUUGGCGGGGUAACGGCCCACCAAGGGGACGAUCAGUAGCCGGACUGAGAGGUUGAACGGCCACAUUGGGACUGAGACACGGCCCAGACUCCUACGGGAGGCAGCAGUGGGGAAUAUUGCGCAAUGGGGGAAACCCUGACGCAGCAACGCCGCGUGAUUGAAGAAGGCCUUCGGGUUGUAAAGAUCUUUAAUCAGGGACGAAACAAAUGACGGUACCUGAAGAAUAAGCGCCGGCUAACUACGUG